ACAAUAAAAUAAAAUUAUUCAAUUUUAAUAAUAAAAUAGCAAAAUAACUAAAAAAUGGACCAAAUUGAAUUUAAAACCAAAAUUCGGGGCAAAUUCGAAAUAAAAAAUAAGAGUAAAGGACCAAUUCGAGUACGCGAAUAACAAGGAGGGGCUAAAGAGGAAAAUAUCCCCACCCUCCAAAACGCAACACUUUUCACGGGACUGAAAUGAAAUCAAAGCAAAAUUUCAGGGCUAAAUUAAAAAUAACAGAAACUUAAUCAAAAUACUAUAAAAAAGCGGAAGGGUUAAAAGUGCAAUUAGCCCUUUCGUAAAAAACGCGUGGAUCUUCCUCUUGGAGCGGGUCGGGUCGGUUUGAUCCAUUCCAAAACGACGUCGUUUUGGCGCUGCAGGCAAUGGACCAAAACGGCGUCGUUUCUGACCCUUAUAAAAGCCAAAUUUUUUUUAAAAAAAAUUCAUUUUCUCUCCUUUCACAAAAGAAAAACAACCCCCCCUCUUUUGUUCUUUCUGAAGGUAUGAGGUGCCGGCCAGACUCCAGUGGACCGCCACUGACCGGCAGUGCCGCCGCCGUAUACAGCGGCUAG
rnacentral:lncRNA from 1 species